ACGGCCAUGUCUAUUCUACGGCCCGGCUCUGCUCCUGGCCCAGGCGCCCGUGUCCGGUGCGGUCCCAUACGAGAUGGGUUCUCUGCCUUCGGUGCGUGUCGGCGCCUCUGCCAAGGCGGAGCGGACGGCGAAAGGUAGACCCAGCGCAUCUCCAGCUUCACGAGACUCACGCGGCCUUCCGUGGGCCGUAAUCGUCUGUCUCCCUCUGUGGCCGAAGUGACACACCGAAGCGAGUAAAAAGCUAAUUCCUAGAACAGUGUGAUGCACCCGGCCCUCCGUUGGCUUCCCGUGCCCUUUGUAGCUAAAUUUGGAAAAUCCUGAGUUUCUCAAAGUCCAAGAACUUUAUAAUGUGCACUGCUAGGCUAAUACCUUUACAACGAAUGCCCCCCAGCUUCCCUGAAUCGGAAUGUGAAAGUGACACACUGAAAACCAAGGCUAAGGGUUCUGUCCUUUCUUUCACGUGUUAAAAUGGUGGCAUCUUUUUAAUGCGCGAGGGAAAACGCAACAACAAUAAUAAAACACUCCUCCCAAAUCCUG
rnacentral:lncRNA from 1 species